rnacentral:lncRNA from 1 species
UGCUGAGGUUUCUGUAGUGGAUAAAACACAAAAAUACCAGCCCUCAUGGUGAAAAUGGAAUGACAAUAAACAAGAUAAAUUAGAUCUAUGGGAUUUCUAAGAGUCUCAGAGACCUAGGAUCCACAAAAUCAAAAGAACAAAACCAAGCCUUUGUGCACAUCUGUGGUUGUGACCAGUUGGAGAGACAUUAGGAGAUGAGAUACUAUGUUCACUCCUCACAGCUGUACCAGGGACCUGAGAUAUUCCGUCACUAUUCUAUGAGAUUUUGGAGAUCCCACCAGUGGUUUUCCGGUGCCAGGGUAUGAGAAGAUAGUCUCCAUGUCCAAACUCACAAUUUCAGAACAAAUUUCAUCAAGAUAAAGGCCUGGGCUGGUGAAUGGUUCCUGCUUUCACUAUUCCAGAUGUCCAGCUCUGUACCUUGCUGCUCUCCUUAAAGCCUGCCUCCCUCUAGGUGGUCUGGCUUGAUGAUAUCCAACCUGACGUGGCCUGAAGAGACAGACAGUGGCUCUUGCUAGCUAAUUAUUGUCAGAUGGAUCGGCAGCCGACCAACGCUUCUGAAACUAUUGUUUUUGGCAAAUGUUCCUCAACAUUUUCCUGGUAUAUAAAUAAUGAUCCCUUGCAGAAAGGAGCUAUGGUGCAUUACUCACGAGUGACAGAACCAACGAGCUUCAUCUCCCAAGAGGCUGGUGCAUCUGUUUAAAGGAGCAGGCACUAGGCAGAGCAGCCCCCACCCCACCCUCCAUGGCAGAGUGCAGUGGGGGAAGGAGUUUUCAUAGAAAUGCUUUCUAUAAAGCAUUUUCAUAGAGAAAGCAGGUUCAUAUAGAAAGCACUGGCUGCUGGUUGGAGUGGAGAGAUUGAAGACCCUCAUCUAGGAUCAAGCAACCCCCAGAAAACAAUUUUAAACAUGUCCAUUCAGACAAAAGGAGUCCAAAACCAUAAGAUCCUCUCAGCAUCCUGAACUAAUGUCCAGCUGUUAUCUCGGGAUGGGAUUUCACCAUGUUGUCCAAGCUGGUUUUGAACUCCUGGGGUCAAGAAAUCCACCUGCUUCGGCCUCCCACAGUGCUGGGAUUACAGGUUGUGCUUUUGGUGUUACAUCUAAGAAAUCUUUGCUUUUGAUUAUUUUAAAAAUUGAUUUUCUCAUCAAGUAAAAGAAAAUGUACUUUCAAGUUCCUUUAAGUAUAUCCACGUUGCCUAGGCAACCAAGUUAUUUAUCAAUAGGUGAUCAUUUGUAAUGAUUUGUUAAUAAAGGAAUUAGAAAAUCUUGUUACAUCAUCUGGAGACUGAGAACUUGGGAUGCUCCUUGUUCAUCCAAGCAUUUGAACAAAUCCAGUGUCCUUUUUGAGCAAAAUAUGAGCCCCACCUUUAGAAUCUGUGAAUCUCCCCUUCAGAUGGGAAAGCUGUUUUUGUGGCUAAAAUUAGAAAUAACCCAAAUGUCUAUGAAAUGAUGCAUGGAUAGAUAAAAUGUGAUAUACCCACACAAUGGAAAAGUAUUUAUCAAUAAAAAGGACUGAAGUCCUGAUACAUACUCCAACAUGAAUAAAUAUCCAAAACAUCAUGCUAAGUGAAAGGAGCCAGACACAAAAG